rnacentral:rRNA from 1 species
CCCUUAGAUGUUCUGGGCCGCACGCGCGCUACACUGACGAAGUCAGCGAGCAUGUCCUACGCCGACAGGUGCGGGGAAUCUUGUCAAACUUCGUCGUGAUGGGGAUUGAUUUUUGAAAUUCUCGAUCAUAAACGAGGAAUUCCUAGUAAGCGCAAGUCAGCAGCUUGCGUUGAUUACGUCCCUGCCCUUUGUACACACCGCCCGUCGCUACUACCGAUUGAAUGGUUUAGUGAGAUCUUCGGAUUGGCGCCACUGCAGCUCAGCAAUGGGCUUGGUGGAUGCCGAAAAGUUGAUCAAACUUGAUCAUUUAGAGGAAGUAAAAGUCGUAACA